rnacentral:rRNA from 1 species
UGGUGGAGUGAUUUGUCUGCUUAAUUGCGAUAACGAACGAGACCUUAACCUACUAAAUAGUGGUGCUAGCAUUUGCUGGUUAUCCACUUCUUAGAGGGACUAUCGGUUUCAAGCCGAUGGAAGUUUGAGGCAAUAACA